UACGUAGGGGGCAAGCGUUGUCCGGAAUUAUUGGGCGUAAAGAGCUCGUAGGCGGCUUGUCACGUCGGGUGUGAAAGCCCGGGGCUUAACCCCGGGUCUGCAUUCGAUACGGGCUAGCUAGAGUGUGGUAGGGGAGAUCGGAAUUCCUGGUGUAGCGGUGAAAUGCGCAGAUAUCAGGAGGAACACCUAUGGCGAAGGCAGCUCGCUGGGACGGUACUGACGCUGAGGCGCGAAAGCGUGGGGAGCAAACAGG
rnacentral:rRNA from 1 species